GGGUGACAUGAGUAGUUCUUUC
rnacentral:siRNA from 1 species